rnacentral:rRNA from 1 species
UACAGAGACUGCAAGCGUUAUUCGGAUUCAUUGGGCGUAAAGGGUGCGUAGGCGGCGCGGUAAGUCGGGUGUGAAAUCUCGGGGCUUAACUCCGAAACUGCAUUCGAUACUGCCGUGCUUGAGGACUGGAGAGGAGACUGGAAUUUACGGUGUAGCGGUGAAAUGCGUAGAUAUCGUAAGGAAGACCAGUGGCGAAGGCGGGUCUCUGGACAGUUCCUGACGCUGAGGCACGAAGGUCAGGGGAGCAAACGGG